rnacentral:rRNA from 1 species
UACGUAGGGCGCAAGCGUUAAUCGGAAUUACUGGGCGUAAAGCGUGCGCAGGCGGUUUUGUAAGACCGAUGUGAAAUCCCCGGGCUUAACCUGGGAACUGCAUUGGUGACUGCAAGGCUUGAGUGUGUCAGAGGGAGGUGGAAUUCCGCGUGUAGCAGUGAAAUGCGUAGAUAUGCGGAGGAACACCGAUGGCGAAGGCAGCCUCCUGGGAUAACACUGACGCUCAUGCACGAAAGCGUGGGGAGCAAACAGG